UACGUAGGUGGCAAGCGUUGUCCGGAUUUACUGGGCGUAAAGGGCGUGCAGGCGGUUUGUUUAGUCUAGGGUGAAAGCUCCCGGCUUAACUGGGAGAGGUCCUUGGAUACUGGCAAACUUGAGGGAGGCAGAGGAAAGUGGAAUUCCCGGUGUAGUGGUGAUAUGCGUAGAUAUCGGGAGGAACACCAGUGGCGAAGGCGGCUUUCUGGGCCUUACCUGACGCUGAGACGCGAAAGCGUGGGGAGCAAACGGG
rnacentral:rRNA from 1 species